UACGUAUGUCGCGAGCGUUAUCCGGAAUUAUUGGGCUUAAAGGGCAUCUAGGCGGUUAAACAAGUUGAAGGUGAAAACCUGUGGCUCAACCAUAGGCUCGCCUACAAAACUGUAUAACUAGAGUACUGGAAAGGUGGGUGGAACUACACGAGUAGAGGUGAAAUUCGUAGAUAUGUGUAGGAAUGCCGAUGAUGAAGAUAACUCACUGGACAGCAACUGACGCUGAAGUGCGAAAGCUAGGGGAGCAAACAGG
rnacentral:rRNA from 1 species